GCUUGCUUUGACAGUGCAUACUAAAAUUGGGACAAUACAAAGAAGAUUAGCACUGGACCCUAUAAAAAAUAAUUUACAAAUUUGUGAAGCAUUCCAUAUUUUU